GAAAUGCGAUAACUAGUGUGAAUUGCAGAAUUCCGUGAAUCAUCGAGUCUUUGAACGCACAUUGCGCCCCCUGGUAUUCCGGGGGGCAUGCCUGUCCGAGCGUCAUUGCUGCCCAUCAAGCACGGCUUGUGUGUUGGGUCGUCGUCCCCUCUCCGGGGGGGACGGGCCCCAAAGGCAGCGGCGGCACCGCGUCCGAUCCUCGAGCGUAUGGGGCUUUGUCACCCGCUCUGUAGGCCCGGCCGGCGCUUGCCGAACGCAAAUCAAUCUUUUUCCAGGUUGACCUCGGAUCGGGUAGGGAUACCCGCUGAACUUAAGC
rnacentral:misc_RNA from 1 species